UUCUAAGGGCGUUGAAGCAUGAUCGCAAGGACAUGUGGAGCGCUUAGAAGUGAGAAUGCCGGUGUGAGUAGCGAAAGACGGGUGAGAAUCCCGUCCACCGAUUGACUAAGGUUUCCAGAGGAAGGCUCGUCCGCUCUGGGUUAGUCGGGUCCUAAGCUGAGGCCGACAGGCGUAGGCGAUGGAUAACAGGUUGAUAUUCCUGUACCACCAUUAUUCGUUUUAAGCGAUGGGGGGACGCAGUAGGAUAGGCGAAGCGUGCUGUUGGAGUGCACGUCCAAGCAGUGAGAUUGAGUGUUAGGCAAAUCCGGCACUCUUAAGAUUGAGCUGUGAUGGGGAGAGGAACUUGUUCCUCGAGUCGUUGAUUUCACACUGCCGAGAAAAGCCUCUAGCUAGAAUAACGGUGCCCGUACCGCAAACCGACACAGGUAGUCAAGAUGAGAAUUCUAAGGUGAGCGAGCGAACUCUCGUUAAGGAACUCGGCAAAAUGACCCCGUAACUUCGGGAGAAGGGGUGCUCUUUGAGGUUCACGCUUCGAAGAGCCGCAGUGAAUAGGCCCAAGCGACUGUUUAUCAAAAACACAGGUCUCUGCUAAACCGUAAGGUGACGUAUAGGGGCUGACGCCUGCCCGGUGCUGGAAGGUUAAGAGGAGUGGUUAGCGCAAGCGAAGCUACGAAUCGAAGCCCCAGUAAACGGCGGCCGUAACUAUAACGGUCCUAAGGUAGCGAAAUUCCUUGUCGGGUAAGUUCCGACCCGCACGAAAGGCGUAACGAUUUGGGCACUGUCUCAACGAGAGACUCGGUGAAAUCAUAGUACCGGUGAAGAUGCCGGUUACCCGCGACAGGACGGAAAGACCCCGUGGAGCUUUACUGUAGCCUGAUAUUGAAAUUCGGUACAGUUUGUACAGGAUAGGUAGGAGCCUUAGAAGCGUGAGCGCUAGCUUACGUGGAGGCAUUGGUGGGAUACUACCCUAAUUGUAUUGGAUUUCUAACCCGCAGCACUUAUCGUGCUGGGAGACAGUGUCAGGCGGGCAGUUUGACUGGGGCGGUCGCCUCCUAAAGAGUAACGGAGGCGCUCAAAGGUUCCCUCAGAAUGGUUGGAAAUCAUUCAUAGAGUGUAAAGGCAUAAGGGAGCUUGACUGCGAGACCUACAAGUCGAGCAGGGUCGAAAGACGGACUUAGUGAUCCGGUGGUUCCGCAUGGAAGGGCCAUCGCUCAACGGAUAAAAGCUACCCCGGGGAUAACAGGCUUAUCUCCCCCAAGAGUUCACAUCGACGGGGAGGUUUGGCACCUCGAUGUCGGCUCAUCGCAUCCUGGGGCUGUAGUCGGUCCCAAGGGUUGGGCUGUUCGCCCAUUAAAGCGGUACGCGAGCUGGGUUCAGAACGUCGUGAGACAGUUCGGUCCCUAUCCGUCGUGGGCGUAGGAAAUUUGAGAGGAGCUGUCCUUAGUACGAGAGGACCGGGAUGGACAUACCUCUGGUGUACCAGUUGUCGUGCCAACGGCAUAGCUGGGUAGCUAUGUAUGGACGGGAUAAGUGCUGAAAGCAUCUAAGCAUGAAGCCCCCCUCGAGAUGAGAUUUCCCAACUUCGGUUAUAAGAUCCCUCAAAGAUGAUGAGGUGAAUAGGUUCGAGGUGGAAGCGUAGUGAUACGUGGAGCUGACGAAUACUAAUCG
rnacentral:rRNA from 1 species